GACGAACGCUGGCGGCGUGCCUAAUACAUGCAAGUAGAACGCUGAAGGAGGAGCUUGCUUCUCUGGAUGAGUUGCGAACGGGUGAGUAACGCGUAGGUAACCUGCCUGGUAGCGGGGGAUAACUAUUGGAAACGAUAGCUAAUACCGCAUAAGAGUAGAUGUUGCAUGACAUUUGCUUAAAAGGUGCAAUUGCAUCACUACCAGAUGGACCUGCGUUGUAUUAGCUAGUUGGUGGGGUAACGGCUCACCAAGGCGACGAUACAUAGCCGACCUGAGAGGGUGAUCGGCCACACUGGGACUGAGACACGGCCCAGACUCCUACGGGAGGCAGCAGUAGGGAAUCUUCGGCAAUGGACGGAAGUCUGACCGAGCAACGCCGCGUGAGUGAAGAAGGUUUUCGGAUCGUAAAGCCCUGUUGUAAGAGAAGAACGAGUGUGAGAGUGGAAAGUUCACACUGUGACGGUAUCUUACCAGAAAGAGACGGCUAACUACGUG
rnacentral:rRNA from 1 species